rnacentral:lncRNA from 1 species
CCUUUUUAAAAUGGGUGGAUCCGCCCCUGCUUCCAGACCCUCAUUGUAAACCCCUUCAAUACCCUCAUGAGAUCUACAAAAUAUAUAGAAGCAGAGACUAAAUAAAGUUUAUGUCAGCAACUUACAUUGUAUGUUCACUGUAUGACGUUUAACAAUUGAUAAACAUAUCAAAUAUUUGUACCUAAUAGCAAGCUUGAAAGGUCUAUACAUG